rnacentral:misc_RNA from 1 species
GUAGGAGCCGGCUUGCUGGCGAUCACGGUGUGUCAGUCGAGAUUAAUGUUUCUGACACACCGCGAUCGCCAGCAAGCCGGCUCCUAC